rnacentral:rRNA from 1 species
UGUCUCCUGGAAACGGGUGGUAAUGCCGGAUGCUCCAGUUGAUCGCAUGGUCUUCUGGGAAAGCUUUCGCGGUAUGGGAUGGGGUCGCGUCCUAUCAGCUUGACGGCGGGGUAACGGCCCACCGUGGCUUCGACGGGUAGCCGGCCUGAGAGGGCGACCGGCCACAUUGGGACUGAGAUACGGCCCAGACUCCUACGGGAGGCAGCAGUGGGGAAUAUUGCACAAUGGGCGCAAGCCUGAUGCAGCGACGCCGCGUGAGGGAUGGAGGCCUUCGGGUUGUAAACCUCUUUUAUCGGGGAGCAAGCGAGAGUGAGUUUACCCGUUGAAUAAGCACCGGCUAACUACGUGCCAGCAGCCGCGGUAAUACGUAGGGUGCAAGCGUUAUCCGGAAUUAUUGGGCGUAAAGGGCUCGUAGGCGGUUCGUCGCGUCCGGUGUGAAAGUCCAUCGCUUAACGGUGGAUCCGCGCCGGGUACGGGCGGGCUUGAGUGCGGUAGGGGAGACUGGAAUUCCCGGUGUAACGGUGGAAUGUGUAGAUAUCGGAAAAAAACACCA